AACGAACGCUGGCGGCAGGCCUAACACAUGCAAGUCGAGCGCGCCCUUCGGGGUGAGCGGCGGACGGGUGAGUAACGCGUGGGAACGUGCCCUUUUCUACGGAAUAGCCUCGGGAAACUGAGAGUAAUACCGUAUACGCCCUGUGGGGGAAAGAUUUAUCGGAAAAGGAUCGGCCCGCGUUGGAUUAGGUAGUUGGUGGGGUAAUGGCCUACCAAGCCGACGAUCCAUAGCUGGUUUGAGAGGAUGAUCAGCCACACUGGGACUGAGACACGGCCCAGACUCCUACGGGAGGCAGCAGUGGGGGAUCUUAGACUAUGGGGGCAACCCUGAUCUAGCCAUGCCGCGUGAGUGAUGAAGGCCUUAGGGUUGUAAAGCUCUUUCAGCUGGGAAGAUAAUGACGGUACCAGCAGAAGAAGCCCCGGCUAACUCCGUG
rnacentral:rRNA from 1 species